rnacentral:rRNA from 1 species
AGUGAACGCUGGCGGUAGGCCUAACACAUGCAAGUCGAACGGCAGCACAGUAAGAGCUUGCUCUUCCGGGUGGCGAGUGGCGUACGGGUGAGGAAUACAUCGGAAUCUACUUUUUCGUGGGGGAUAACGUAGGGAAACUUACGCUAAUACCGCAUCCGACCUACGGUUGAAAGCAGGGGAUCUUCGGACCUUGCGCGAUUGAAUGAGCCGAUGUCGGAUUAGCUAGUUGGCGGGGUAAAGGCCCACCAAGGCGACGAUCCGUAGCUGGUCUGAGAGGAUGAUCAGCCACACUGGAACUGAGACACGGUCCAGACGCCUACGGGAGGCAGCAGUGGGGAAUAUUGGACAAUGGGCGCAAGCCUGAUACAGCCAUACCGCGUGGGUGAAGAAGGCCUUCGGGUUGUAAAGCCCUUUUGUUGGGAAAGAAAAGCAGCAGGUUAAUACCCAGCUGUUCUGACGGUACCCAAAGAAUAAGCACCGGCUAACUUCGUG